CGCCUGUUUAUCAAAAACAUCGCCUCUUGCAAAACCAAUGAAUAAGAGGUCCCGCCUGCCCUGUGACUAUAUGUUUAACGGCCGCGGUAUUUUGACCGUGCGAAGGUAGCGCAAUCACUUGUCUUUUAAAUGGAGACCUGUAUGAAUGGCACCACGAGGGCUUAGCUGUCUCCCCCUCCCAGUCAAUGAAAUUGAUCUCUCCGUGCAGAAGCGGGGAUAAAAACAUAAGACGAGAAGACCCUAUGGAGCUUAAGACGCCAGAACAGCUCAUGUUAAACACCCCUAAAUAAAGGAAAAAACCAAAUGAACCCUGCUCUAAUGUCUUUGGUUGGGGCGACCGCGGGGAAAUACAAAACCCCCAUGUGGAAUAGGAAUACUAUGUUCCUAAAUCCAAGAGCUCCCGCUCUAAUAAACAGAACUUCUGACCAACUAGAUCCGGCAAUGCCGAUCAACGGACCGAGUUACCCUAGGGAUAACAGCGCAAUCCUCUUAAAGAGCCCUUAUCGACAAGGGGGUUUACGACCUCGAUGUUGGAUCAGGACAUCCUAAUGGUGCAGCCGCUAUUAAGGGUUCGUUUGUUCAACGAUUAAAGUCCUACGUGAUCUGAGUUCAGACCGG
rnacentral:rRNA from 1 species